UACGAAGGGGGCGAGCGUUGUUCGGAAUUACUGGGCGUAAAGGGCGCGUAGGCGGCGACUCAAGUUAGAUGUGAAAGUCCUGGGCUUAACCUGGGGACUGCAUUUGAUACUGGGUUGCUUGAAUUCGGGAGAGGAUAGCGGAAUUCCCAGUGUAGAGGUGAAAUUCGUAGAUAUUGGGAAGAACACCGGUGGCGAAGGCGGCUAGCUGGACCGACAUUGACGCUGAGGCGCGAAAGCGUGGGGAGCAAACAGG
rnacentral:rRNA from 1 species